rnacentral:rRNA from 1 species
AUUCCCCUAGUAACUGCGAGUGAAGCGGGAAAAGCUCAAAUUUAAAAUCUGGUGGUCUUUGGCCGUCCGAGUUGUAAUUUAGAGAAGCGUCUUCCGCGCUGGACCGUGCACAAGUCUCCUGGAACGGAGCGUCGUAGAGGGUGAGAAUCCCGUCUUUGGCAUGGACACACCAGGGCUUUUGCGAUGCGCUCUCGAAGAGUCGAGUUGUUUGGGAAUGCAGCUCAAAAUGGGUGGUGAACUCCAUCUAAAGCUAAAUAUUGGCGAGAGACCGAUAGCGAACAAGUACCGUGAGGGAAAGAUGAAAAGCACUUUGGAAAGAGAGUGAAACAGUACGUGAAAUUGUUGAAAGGGAAACGCUUGAAGUCAGUCGCGUCGUCCGAGACUCAGCCUCGCCUCGGCUUGGCGUACUUCUCGGCCCGACGGGUCAGCAUCAAUUUCGCCUCUCGGAUAAUGGCGAGGGAAAAGUGACACCUUUACGGUGUGUUAUAGUCUCUCGUCGCAUGCGAGGGUCGGGAUUGAGGAACUCAGCACGCGCCCUCGGGCGUCGGGGCCUUCGCCCACGAUACGUGCUUAGGAUGUUGGCGUAAUGGCUUUAAACGACCCGUCUUGAAACACGGACCAAGGAGUCUAACAUGCCUGCGAGUGUUCGGGUGGAAAACCCGUGCGCGCAAUGAAAGUGAAAGUUGGGACCUCCGUCGUGGAGGGCACCGACGCCCGGACCAGACCUUCUGUGACGGCUCUGCGGUAGAGCAUGCAUGUUAGGACCCGAAAGAUGGUGAACUAUGCCUGAAUAGGGUGAAGCCAGAGGAAACUCUGGUGGAGGCUCGUAGCGAUUCUGACGUGCAAAUCGAUCGUCAAAUUUGGGUAUAGGGGCGAAAGAC